AGGUCAUGUGCCUAUCCCUGGACUAAUCACCAUGGCCACGUAAUUGGUGAAUUCUCAUUGGCUAUCCUGGAUCAUGUGACUACCCUUGGAGCAAUCACGGUGGCAAGGUCAUGUGCCUAUCCCUGGACUAAUCUCCAUGGCCACGUAGCUGGUGAAUUUUAAUUGGCUAUCUUGGAUCAUGUGACUACCUUCAACCAGUUAUCAUGAGAGAGAGCGUGAGCAGGGCAGGGGCAGAGAGGAUCCUAAACUGGUUCCAUGCUAUCAGCACCGAGCCCAGAGUGGGGAUCCCUCCCAUGAACUGGGAG